CGACUUUGUCCUAAUCAAAACCUGUUUUCAGAAAGAGAUCUGCCACCAGCCAUUAUCAGCUUGGUGCACAAACCUGUUGCCCUCUGGGUGGAGAAUCUGUUUUUCUAGCCGCUGGUGCUCACCAGUGACCACCUAGGUAGACGAGAGAUGGAGGACACAGUCUGUGUAACCAUCAAAGCUGAAGUAAAGAAUCUCUGCAGCUUCCUCAGCAUUUCUUAAAAGGCUUGGAGGAUGCCAGUCACAGAGUAAGAAAUCUAAGGAGCAGAAAACCCACAAUAUCAACAGAAGCCCAAACAAACCAUGUCCAUGGGAGCAAGAGAGAAGGAGGGGCUAUCACAUGAUCUUGUCCACAGCCAGAGAGGUCCUCACCUCUCCACCUCUUCCUCUGAUUCAAGCUCCAUCUGUUUCUCACGUUUGCGAGUGAUGAGCAGUGGCAGAAAGAGAUGAAGACAGAUCUGCAGAGACAAAGACAAUGUUUGUGCGUGAAUUCAGCAAAACAAUCACAAACCAUGAAGUCAA